rnacentral:rRNA from 1 species
UCUGCCCUCAGGAGGGGGACAACAGCUGGAAACGGCUGCUAAUACCCCAUAUGCCGCGAGGUGAAAUGAAUUUCGCCUGAGGAUGAGCUCGCGUCUGAUUAGCUAGUUGGUGUAGGUAAUGGCUCACCAAGGCAUCGAUCAGUAGCUGGUCUGAGAGGAUGAUCAGCCACACUGGGACUGAGACACGGCCCAGACUCCUACGGGAGGCAGCAGUGGGGAAUUUUCCGCAAUGGGCGAAAGCCUGACGGAGCAACGCCGCGUGAGGGAUGAAGGCCUCUGGGCUGUAAACCUCUUUUAUCAAGGAAGAAGAUCUGACGGUACUUGAUGAAUAAGCCACGGCUAAUUCCGUG